rnacentral:lncRNA from 1 species
GGGCGGGGAAGCGAGGCCCUGGGAACCACUGUCCAGCCAGGCUCCCUGAGCCUCUGGCUCCUGUAAGCCAGAUCUCCAGGCCCAGGCAGGGUCUGAGGGCUGUGGGGUGCAGGACCAGCCCUCCCCUCAGGCUUGUUUCUGAGCUGCCCCACAGUGUGGUGUCGGGUCACAGUACCUGACACACCAGCCCCUGGAAAACACUGACCCCUGGGUUGCCUCUAGCAAGCACCCCACGCUCCACCUGGAACUACUGCAGUGCUUCAGACAGGAGCAGGGCUUCUGUGUUUGGACAAACAGGAGAAGAUGCUGACUUCUUAAUGGGACUCAGUGGAAACUUGCAGUGUGACCCCUCCGUCUUUCCAAGUUGCAUCCCAUGUCAGAGGCCAGCACUUAGCCCACCGCAGUGAGCACCUGGAGCCACACAGUGGCCGGGCUUGAGAGGCAGGGAAGGCUGGGGUUCUGGGGAUGCGGCCCCAGGAAGCAGGCCACACUCACGGUGCCCCUGGGAGCUGUAAGCGGGUGACCGCAUGGCCCUUCCUCUCUCUCCCUCCCUCUGUGCAAUACCUCUCCCUUUUCUGACAGCGUACUUACUUAUGCUCUGACUCCGACACCCAGUUGUCCCAUUUGUGAAGGAGGGAGGCGGGAGCAGGUUGGUAGUGACCUUUGCGAUUGUUCACAAAGACACAACCUGGACCGAUGCCAGGGUGAGCAUGUCCACCCCUGCAGGCUGCCCGUGCCUUGGCCCGCUCCUGGGAGCCAUUCUGGAAGGUGGUUCCUGAGUCGUGGGCAAAGAACGCCCAGUGCAGAGUGACGCCCUUCCCCACUGCUGUGUGACCGGGCCUGGCCCAGAGCAGAGCUGCCGUGUGAGCCUGGCAUCACCUCACCACGCUGGCCCAGCGGGCAAGGUACUGGCCCGGAUUCAGUCUGCGGUCACAGUCAAGAACUGGAGUAACCGCGAGGGCGCCAGCUGGGCAGGGUGCUGCACCCCCCUUAAUCCUGGGACUCUGGGAGGCUGAGGCAGGAGGGUCAGAGGUUUGAGCCACGCUGGGCAGCUCAGUGAGACCCUGUGUCUAAAGAAAAGUUAAAAAGGGCUGGGGCUGGAGCUCAGGGCAAAGGCUCUGGGUUCAAAUCCCAUAGGGGCUGGGCUGGGCUGGGACUGGGACAAAGAGGUCUCUGGAUGGGUGAGCGGGCGCCUGGCGACAGCAGGGCUCACCAGGCCUGGUGCGGUGGGACCUGCUAGCUACAAGCAAGGCUGUGCGUGGGUCACUGUAAUACGGUGUCUUCACCUCUUCCCGGAGAGGCCCUACAGGGGAAAACCUGGGGCCAAAGGAAUUUCGUUCUUUUCUCUUUUUUGGUACCGGGAUGGAACUCAGGACCUUGCACUUUCGAGGCAGGCGGUGGAACCACUGAGCUACAUUCCCAGCUCAGGAAUUUGUCUUCCUUUCUGAGGCGUCUCCACACUGAUCUCUGCAGUGUUGUACCUGCGUACUCCCCCACCCGUGGGGAAGGCCCCUCGCCAGCGCCUUGUUACUGCUGGGUUUCUUGAAGAUGGCCCUGCCCUCUGGGGAUGGUGGGACUGCGGUGCUGCCUUUAAUUUAAUCCCUUAUUCUCAGCGUUGCUGUUUACUCCCUUCAAGUCCUGAACUCACACAGGUAGUUUCAAAGUUGCCAACCCUUUGUGCCAUGAAAAAGAAAACCUACUGGAGUUGAAGCUCAGCACUUUUCCUUUUGGGGAGAGGUGGGCAGGCAGGGAGAGGCGGGGCUGAGUGAGUCUGUGGCACAGAUGCCCACACCGCCCACCGGGCCUCCGCUCUUCGGCCCUGCCACGGGAAGCCCUGCGUCUGCGCUUUCCAGCCCUCCCUGCUGUCGGGGCUCAGCCAGGGAGGCUGUUGGCAGCCCCUUUAUCAGGAGGUGGGAAUGCCUGGGGCCCAGGCAAUGGGACAUCAAAUGUCCUUGACGGAGAAAGGGUAAUUUCAUCCAGGUUCCUCAAACACUCGGAAUGGAGCCAGCGUGUGGCACGCUGCAGUUGGCUUCUGGGUGCUCACAUCCAAGGCUGCGGAGCUGGUGUGGCAAGGAGACACCUACACGCCACGUCCACCACAGCUGAGGAAAAACAGUGCACCCAGGCAUGCCCCACCAAUGAGCGUGUGAAGGGACAGUGGACGCGCAUGGCAGCAUGCCGUGAGCCUCACAGAAGAGGGAAACAUGUCCUUUCUGACACACAGGUGAAUCUGGGCGAUGUUAAGUAAGACACACCAAGCAACAACAACAAUACCUGUGUGUGUGCGGUGCUGGGGACUGGACCCAGGACCUUCACACUGAGCUACAUCCCCACCUUUUCAUUUUCUGUUUUGAGACAGGGUCUCGCUAACUUGCUCAGUUGCCCAAGCUGGGCUCAAACUUGCCAUCCUCCUGCCUCUGCCUCCCAGUGCUGGGAUGACAGGCGUGCACCACCACACUUAGUUCCUGCUCUAACUUUUCAACAAAAUCCAUUACACUGUAGGAAAAGGUAAAAGAAAACUACGCGAUGGCUUUCUGGAUCUUUGUGUUCUAAACGCUGCCCUAACUUCUUGGAGAAGGCUUGUCGGUCAGUCGGGACUCAAGAAAGCCCUGGGCCUCCCAGGAGGCGCCGCCCCUCCUCGGCCCCAUGCACUGGCCUUGGGGAACCCUUCGGGUUGCCCAGACGCGAGGAUGGGGCUCCUCCUCCUCCACAGGCCCAGCACUGCCUCUGCUGAGGGUAGAUUUUGUUGGAUUCAUAUGCUUGUAGAAAGCAUAGAGAUACAAGUUUAGAAGGAGAAGCAGUCACAGUGGGAACAAGGAGAAGCGAGGAGAGAGGCCGCUUCCCUUGCUGGAGCCGGAGCUCGAGGGCCUUGGUUCCCAGCGCCUCUCCCGAGAGUUACACCUGCAUCAGCUGCUCCUAGGCUCAGACCCUGCCUUGGCCGUGGACCCUCCCUGCCCUUGCACUCUCCCCUCUCUCCGUGAGAUUUGUGACGGGGCCUCAGGCUGACGGCCAAGUUAGCAAGUAUUAAGAGGUACGUGCGCAUGUCAGUGCAUUCACAUGCUGAGAGAAUAAUAAAAUACAGGGCCGGGAUUUAGCUCAGUGGUCAUGCCUGCCUUGCAAGCACAAGGUCCCCAGUUCGAUCCCCGGUACCCAAAGAAACCAACAACAUACCUGCAUUUAUACACAGGUGCCUGAGCAACCAGGCACAAAUGUACAGCUGCCCCUGAAGUGUGUUUCCCUGCAAUUCAGCCUGUCCACUGCGGCCCCUCUGCACCUGGCUGGAGCCCAGAGGAGGACCUGGGCCUGCGACACCCUGCUCAUGCUCCGCCUGUCCUGCUCCCUCCAGGUCAGGGGUUUGCCGAGUCCUUCCCUUCCCUGCCCUGACCCCUGCCCUGACAAAGCCCUCCCGACGGAUGCAGGUGCCGGUAGAUAAAGGACAGGGACUGACGAUGUCUUACUGCAUCUGUGCACAUUUUAGUCAGUUCACCAAGCACCUCCCAGGCCGCAGGGCCCAGCGGGGCUGCGCUCCUGCCUGGCCCUACUGGUCCCAGUCCUUGACGAUGCUCAGGACGCCCCGCUCAGGGGCGGGGCCUGCCAGCCUGGCCAGCACGUCCAGCCCUCCGUGCUCCUUCUCCCUGGAGGACACAAAGUGGGCAGCUCCUGCACCCGGACCCCGGGGCGCCCGCCCGUGUCCCCGUCCCUGUCCCCGUGGCCUGCGCAGCUCCCGGAUCUGUGCGGGCCAGGCCGAUUGGGACCGCAGGGCAGGAGCCCGGGCACCGCUUACCGGAGGACAACGUUGCAUGCCUGCGCGGUGGCCGCUGACCAAGGCCUGCUGGCCCCGCUCCCCAACAUCGUUCCCGCUCACGUCCAGGUGCCUCAGCUCCAGGUUGGUGCCCGGCACAGCCGGCCAGGGCAAGGCAGCCAGCAGAGGUGAGGAGGCAGCGCUCCAGCCUGGGGCAGGCGGCAGGGUCAGCGCUGGGGGCUCUGGCCUCCCCCUCCCCCUCCCGGGCGCCCUUCCCAAGGGGCUGGGGAGCACCUCCUUCUCCCAACCCCACCCUGCCCCGAGGGUCCCAGCACCAACCCCAGGACAGGCGCUCUCACUCCAGGACAUGCAGGUGGCAGCUGGGGCACGCCAGGGCCUCGCACAGAGUGGCGGCGCCGUCAUCCCCGAGGGUCAUUGAGGCUGAGGUCCAGGCUUUGGAGGCGCGCUGCUCUCUCGAGAGCUGAGGCCACGUCCUGACAGCAAGCCGAGGUCAGAGCACACCUUCUCAGCCUGCAGAGGAGCCCGGGUCACUGAGCACCCAGACAGCCACAUUUGCUCCCCACUGCCCCCCUUGCAGAGCACUAAGUCAUUCCUAUUUCUCACUCUUCCCCAGGCUUUCUAGCUCUGGUGAAACAGAGAACUUGCUUUCCCUCACCAUGGCUUUCCUCCUUUUCGGACAUAUCCUGUGAAGUGCAUGGUGUAGUACGUGACCUUUGGGUGCUUGGUGUCUUCCACUUAGACUAUUCUCAAGGUUUCUCCAUGUCUUAGCAUGAACCAGCAUGUUCCUUUUUAUGGCUGCAUAGUAUUCCAGCGGCAAAGUUACGCACAUUUUCUUUGUUCCUUCAUUGGUUUUCAGACACAUGGGAUCUCGCCUCUUUACUCCUGUGAAUGCUGCAGGAAUAUGUGCAGGUUUUCGUGUGGAUGUAGGGCUUUAUUUUCUUGUGUUUGUGCCUAGCAGUGAGACCGAGGACUCAUGUGCUGACUCUGUCUUCCACCACUUGAGGAACAGCCAAGAACGUCUUCCUGAAGUGCCAGCACCUUCUCCUGCUUCUCCGGGGAAAGCUCAAAGUGUCAGUGCUUCCUCAGCAGGCAUGGGCGCGUGACCCAGAGGCCCACACCUGCAGACUCCGGCGACUUUUCCUCUCGGAGACACAUCGUCAUCGGCCUCACACUUGCCAUCCUCCUGCCUCAGCCUCCCAGAGUGCUGGGGUCACAGGCGUGCACCACCAUGCCUGGCUCCGUAUUUAAUUCUGUGCUGAACUUCCUCCCGUGACAGCCAAGUGAGACCUCCCCAGGAGGAAGGCAGCGUGACCUGGACACUGACCCUGAGCCCCCGCCCGGCUCUUGUGAUGAGCAGAUGUCGCCGUCCUGCGCAUCUGCAGGGCCCUGGGUGCCUGGGCCCCGCUAACCUGCCUCUUCAGUGGAAAUAACACCCUUUUCCUGACUGCUGUCCCCUGGCACAAGCAUGGCUCCAAUAGGCCUCUGUGGGUCACACGUGUGCCACAGACUAGAACACGAAGCAGGUGUGCUCGGCACUGCUCCCCGCACGCCGAGCCUCAAGGGGAGGCACCUGGGGACUCACACCAGCCUCUGGAGGGGCAGCGCCGCGCUUGCCAGGCUCUCCCAGAUGUGCCUCGCCCCUUCAUCCUUCAGGGCAUUGCCCGCCAGGCUCAGGUGCGUCAGCGUCCGGCUGCUCCCCAGGGAGACGGCCACGCCCGGGCAGGCCAGCUUCAUGAGCCCGCAGCCUCCAGCCUGGGGACAGAGACUCGAGGUGAGCUGCGGACAGGUGGCCGGGUGUGGGGAUGCACGCCUGUGACCCCAGCCCUCUGGGAGGCUGAGGCAGGGGGGAUUGUAAGUUCAAGCCCAGCCUGGGCAAUUUAGCGUCUGGGGGAGAACCUGUCUCAAAAUAAACAAAAAAAGGGCUGAUUGUGUCACACAGCGUGAAGGCCUGCCAGCAGUUCCCUAUACCAAAAAUAUCCCAGCCAACCAAAGGAACAAACAGCCCCGCCCGCCCCUGUGAGACAGGAAAGGGAUGGCCCAGGAGGAGGAGAGGCGCAGAAGCCUGGCCUGCAGUUUAGAGCUAAGGCGGAGGCUGAGGUUGUGGAAAGCGUUCGUCAGGGAUCAGCGUGACGCAAUGAAAACGGGAUCCCGUUCCCACGCCACCGAGUGGAAAAGCGGUCAGAAAGCGGGCUGCGAAGGCUCAGAGGAGCUGUCAGACGCGCUAUGGGUGGACGGAGCCCGGAGGUGCGCAGCCCGGAGGAGCGCGACCUGCAGCACGGCCGCCCUGUGCAGCAACGCCCGCCACAGCACCCGUGUGUGUGUGUAUGCGCGCAGUGUGCGCGUGUAACUGUAAGAGCGGGCAGCAGGGCAAACCCCAGCCUGCAGGGCAGCAGAGAGCUCCCUGCACGUUCACACAAACAUUAACAUGGGCAGCGAAGAGGAGCCGACCGCAGAAGGGAGCAGGAAAAUACUGCUCAGAAAGGAGGGCUCCUUCGUGUGAGCAGUGUGGGGCUUAGCGACUCCUGCUUAAGGAUAAACGUGUGAUGAGGCCAGUGCUAAAAUGCCAGCCUUCCCCGCCUCGGAAUGGCCGCCGUGAGUGUGUCAGCGUGUCACCACUGUGAGCUCAGACGGGCUGGCGAGGUUCUGUUUGGUCCAGGGGCCGCCCCGCCAGCUGGGGCCGCGCCGUCACCCCAGGCUGCCGCCCAGCGGACUCACGCCAACCUCCGGAGCUGCCUCGCAGACACGAAGAUCGCCGCCGACAGCGCCAGGCAGGCUCCACUCAGCGCCAGGGUCUGCAGGUGUGCGCUGUCUUGAAGGUCGCGGGCCAGGAGGACCCACUCUCGAGGGGGGGCCACGCAGGACACCAGCCUGGGGGGGAUGCAGGACACCCACG